AGUAAUUAAGUGCAUGUGGUGGAUGCCUUGGCAGUCAGAGGCGAUGAAAGACGUGGUAGCCUGCGAUAAGCUUUGGGGAGUCGGCAAACAGACUGUGAUCCAGAGAUCUCUGAAUGGGGGAACCCAGCCAGCAUAAGCUGGUUAUCUUGUACUGAAUACAUAGGUGCAAGAGGCGAACCAGGGGAACUGAAACAUCUAAGUACCCUGAGGAAAAGAAAUCAACCGAGAUUCCCUAAGUAGUGGCGAGCGAACGGGGACUAGCC
rnacentral:rRNA from 13 species